UACGGGGGGGGCAAGCGUUGUUCGGAAUUACUGGGCGUAAAGGGUUCGUAGGUGGCCAACUAAGUCAGACGUGAAAUCCCUCAGCUUAACUGGGGAACUGCGUCUGAGACUGGAUGGCUUGAGUGCAGGAGAGGAACGCGGAAUUCCAGGUGUAGCGGUGAAAUGCGUAGAGACCCGGAGGAACACCAGUGGCGAAGGCGGCAUCCUGGUCUGCGACUGACGCUGUGGCGCGAAAGCUAGGGGAGCGAACGGG
rnacentral:rRNA from 1 species